GAUGAACGCUAGCGGGAGGCCUAACACAUGCAAGCCGGGCGGUAGAGAUUCUUCGGAAUCUUGAGAGCGGCGUGCGGGUGCGGAACACGUGUGCAACCUGCCUUUAUCAGGGGGAUAGCCUUUCGAAAGGAAGAUUAAUACCCCAUAAUAUAUUGAAUGGCAUCAUUUGAUAUUGAAAACUCCGGUGGAUAGAGAUGGGCACGCGCAAGAUUAGAUAGUUGGUGAGGUAACGGCUCACCAAGUCUACGAUCUUUAGGGGGCCUGAGAGGGUGGCCCCCCACACUGGUACUGAGACCCGGACAAGACUCCUACGGGAGGCAGCAGUGAGAAAUAUUGGAAAAUGGGUGCGAGCCUGAUCCAGCCAUCCCGCGUGAAGGACGACGGCCCUAUGGGUUGUAAACUUCUUUUGUAUAGGGAUAAACCUAGAUACGUGUAUCUAGCUGAAGGUACUAUACGAAUAAGCACCGGCUAACUCCGUGCCAGCAGCCGCCGUAA
rnacentral:rRNA from 1 species